rnacentral:rRNA from 1 species
AGAGUUUGAUCCUGGCUCAGAACGAACGCUGGCGGCGUGCCUAACACAUGCAAGUCGAGCGCGAAAAGGACUUCGGUCCCCAGUAGAGCGGCGCACGGGUGAGUAACACGUGGAUAAUCUGCCCUCAGGACCGGGAUAACUCAGGGAAACUUGAGCUAAUACCGGAUAAGACCACGGAACGAGAGUUCCGGGGGGAAAAGCAGGGGCCUACUUCGGUAGCCUUGCACCAGAGGAUGAGUCCGCGGCCCAUCAGCUAGUUGGCGGGGUAACGGCCCACCAAGGCUAAGACGGGUAGCUGGUCUGAGAGGAUGACCAGCCACACUGGAACUGAGACACGGUCCAGACUCCUACGGGAGGCAGCAGUGGGGAAUAUCGCGCAAUGGGGGAAACCCUGACGCAGCAACGCCGCGUGAGUGAUGAAGGUCUUCGGAUCGUAAGG